rnacentral:rRNA from 1 species
AUGGCCGCACCUGGGAGGGUUGUUCUGGUCAAGGUGGUUCUCACCGCCAUAGCUAUCUACAGCAUUACUUCGCUGAUCCUGCCAGCGGAGGUGAUGAAGCGUAUUGAUGCCUUACGACGUGCAUUCCUUUGGGCCGGUUGCGAUAAAGUCACUGGUGGCAAGUGUAAAAUCAAUUGGGACAGAGUUUGCAGUCCUAAAGCUAGGGGCGGCCUGGGCAUCCUAAGCCUGGACAAAUUUGCCACUGCCCUCCGCUUGAGGUGGCUUUGGAACGAGUGGGCGGAGCAGCCAAAGUCGUGGGUUGGGUUAGGCACCCCUUGCACCGAGGCUGACAGGGACCUUUUCGCGGCAGCAACGAAGGUCGUGGUUGGAAACGGAGAUAAGGCUUCCUUCUGGACGUCCCCCUGGCUUGAUGGUCUCAGGCCGAUGGACAUCGCCCCUAAAAUCUUUGAGAUCUCCAAAAAGAAAGAUUCCUCUGUCAGGAAGGCCCUCACUGAUGAUCUAUGGAUUUCGCAAGUUGACAUGGUAAAUGGCAUUACCGUCGGACACAUACAGGAGUUUACCAUCCUUUGA